GUGCUCACUUUAGCAGCACAUAUACUAAAAUUGGAGCAGUACAGAGAAGAUUAGCAUGGGACCAUGUACGGAUGACAUGCAAAUUCACGAAGCGUUCCAUAUUAAA
ensembl:snRNA U6 U6 spliceosomal RNA